CAGGUGAGCAGCUGCGGCGGCGGCGGCCAGACGCCCUGUUUGGGCGGCGGCCAGCUGUACACAUACAUGGUCGGCCCCCCAGGCGGCUGCUGUUCUUACUGGGGGCUCCUGCGGAUCCAGACCUGCGGCGGAGGAAGGGAUAUGUAGACAGACUUUCUACUUAACCGCCUCCUGUCCCUGUGGGCCGGUUCCCCGGGACGCCGGUUCAUGGCUUUGGGGGAAUUCAUCCCAAAUCGAACAUUCAGCUCCCCGCCUAGCCUCUUGUCCCAAGGUCGGGCAGAGCCUCAGGCUCCCAGCAGACAAUAAGGAGCCUUUUCAAGCCCUCCGCCGGGAUGCUCUUCCCAGUGACUCCCCACUCACUUGUCUCCUUCAGCCUUGGGGAGCCGGCGGGAUCCAGAGCGGGGCUCCUCUCCGCACUUUGUAGCUGCGUUGCUCCGCUCCAUGCCCUGCCUCAGCCACUCCUCCUGGUUACCAGGCAAAAGGAAACACCUUGAGCUGGCCAGGAGCUACCAGCGUCUGUCUACACCUGGGAGUUCAGUGGCAUGACCAGGGCUCACUGCAACCUUGAUCUGGGCUCAAGUGAUCCUCCUACCUCAGCUUCCUGAGUAGCUAGGACCACAGGUGUGCACCAACCACACCCGACUAAUUUUUGUAGAGAUGAGAUCCCACUAUGUUACCCAGGCUGGUCUUGAACUCCUGGGCUCAGGUGAUCAUCCUGCCUUGGCUUCCCAAAGUACUGGGAUUAUAGGCUUGAGCCACCGUGCCUGGCCUGUGAUCAGAAUUCUCAUUUUUUUAGUCACUAAAAAUGCUGGGGGG
rnacentral:lncRNA from 10 species